CGAACGGCAGCACAGUAAGAGCUUGCUCUUAUGGGUGGCGAGUGGCGGACGGGUGAGGAAUACAUCGGAAUCUACCUUUUCGUGGGGGAUAACGUAGGGAAACUUACGCUAAUACCGCAUACGACCUUCGGGUGAAAGCAGGGGACCUUCGGGCCUUGCGCGGAUAGAUGAGCCGAUGUCGGAUUAGCUAGUUGGCGGGGUAAAGGCCCACCAAGGCGACGAUCCGUAGCUGGUCUGAGAGGAUGAUCAGCCACACUGGAACUGAGACACGGUCCAGACUCCUACGGGAGGCAGCAGUGGGGAAUAUUGGACAAUGGGCGCAAGCCUGAUCCAGCCAUACCGCGUGGGUGAAGAAGGCCUUCGGGUUGUAAAGCCCUUUUGUUGGGAAAGAAAAGCAGUCGAUUAAUACUCGGUUGUUCUGACGGUACCCAAAGAAUAAGCACCGGCUAACUUCGUGCCAGCAGCCGCGGUAAUACGAAGGGUGCAAGCGUUACUCGGAAUUACUGGGCGUAAAGCGUGCGUAGGUGGUUGUUUAAGUCUGUUGUGAAAGCCCUGGGCUCAACCUGGGAAUUGCAGUGGAUACUGGGCGACUAGAGUGUGGUAGAGGGUAGUGGAAUUCCCGGUGUAGCAGUGAAAUGCGUAGAGAUCGGGAGGAACAUCCAUGGCGAAGGCAGCUACCUGGACCAACA
rnacentral:rRNA from 1 species